GACGAACGCUGGCGGCGUGCCUAAUACAUGCAAGUUGAGCGAUGAAGCUUGGUGCUUGCACCAAUUUGAAGAGCAGCGAACGGGUGAGUAACGCGUGGGGAAUCUGCCUUUGAGCGGGGGACAACAUUUGGAAACGAAUGCUAAUACCGCAUAACAACUUUAAACAUAAGUUUUAAGUUUGAAAGAUGCAAUUGCAUCACUCAAAGAUGAUCCCGCGUUGUAUUAGCUAGUUGGUGAGGUAAAGGCUCACCAAGGCGAUGAUACAUAGCCGACCUGAGAGGGUGAUCGGCCACAUUGGGACUGAGACACGGCCCAAACGCCUACGGGAGGCAGCAGUAGGGAAUCUUCGGCAACGGACGAAAGUCUGACCGAGCAACGCCGCGUGAGUGAAGAAGGUUGUCGGAUCGUAAAACUCUGUUGGUAGAGAAGAACGUUGGUGAGAGUGGAAAGCUCACCAAGUGACGGUAACUACCCAGAAAGGGACGGCUAACUACGUG
rnacentral:rRNA from 1 species